rnacentral:rRNA from 1 species
UAACGCGUGGUCAACCUACCGUUGAGUGGGGGAUAACUAGCCGAAAGGUUAGCUAAUACCGCAUACGUCUCCGAGAGGCAUCUCUUGGCGAUAAAAGGAGCAAUCCGCUCGAUGACGGGACCGCGUCCCAUUAGCUAGAUGGUGGGGUAAUGGCCUACCAUGGCUCCGAUGGGUAGCUGGUUUGAGAGAGCGACCAGCCACACUGGGACUGAGAAACGGCCCAG